rnacentral:rRNA from 1 species
ACAAGUAUACAAGAGCAUCGGGUGGAUGCCUUGGCGUCGGAAGGCGAAGAAAGACGUGGUAAGCUGCGAUAAGCCUCGGGGAGAAGCUAAACAUUCUGCGAUCCGGGGAUGUCUGAAUGGGGAAACCCGGCGGGAGUCAUGUCCCGUCAUCCGCAAGUGAAUACAUAGCUUGCAGGAAGCCAACUCAGGGAAGUGAAACAUCUCAGUACCUGAAGGAAAGGAAAUCAAACGAGACUCCCUCAGUAGCGGCGAGCGAAGGGGGAAGAGCCUAAACCGGUUGGAUUCGUCCAGCCGGGGUUGUAGGGCCGGCAUACGUGAUUCAUGAGUAGGCAGGGGAAAGAAGCUGGAAAGCUUUGCCAAAGCGGGUGAUAGCCCCGUACCCGAACCUGAAAGUGACACAGCCGGUACCUGAGUACCGCGGGGCACGUGAAACCCCGUGGGAAUCCGGGAGGACCAUCUUCCAAGGCUAAGUACUAACCGACGACCGAUAGUGCACCAGUACCGUGAGGGAAAGGUGAAAAGAACCCCUGUCAGGGGAGUGAAAUAGAAUCUGAAACCUGAUGCUUACAAGCUGUGGGAGCCGUGCUUGCAUGGUGACCACGUGCCUUUUGCAUAAUGAGUCAGCGAGUUAAUCUGUACUGCGAGGUUAAGCGUAAGUGGAGCCGUAGCGAAAGCGAGUCUGAUAAGGGCGAUAGUAGUGCGGAUUAGACCCGAAACCGGGUGAUCUAUCCAUGAGCAGGUUGAAGCACGGGUAAAACCUUGUGGAGGACCGAACCCAUACCGGCUGAAAACGGUUGGGAUGACUUGUGGAUAGGGGUGAAAGGCCAAUCAAACCCGGUGAUAGCUGGUUCUCCCCGAAAUAUAUUGAGGUAUAGCCUCGUGGAUUGUCUACCGGAGGUAAAGCACUGACAGAGCUAGGGGUCCUACCAGAUUACCAAACUCUUUCAAACUCAGAAUGCCGGUCAGAUGUACCACGGGAGUCAGACAGUGGGUGCUAAGGUCCAUUGUCGAGAGGGUAAGAGCCCAGAUCAACAGCUAAGGCCUCCAAAUGCAUGCUCAGUGGUUAAGGUGGUGACGUUGUAGAGACACCCAGGACGUUGGCUUAGAAGCAGCCAUCGUUUAAAGAAAGCGUAAUAGCUCACUGGUCUAAUGACGUUGCGCCGAAAAUGUAACGGGGCUAAGCAUGCUGCCGAAGCUUUGAAUUCCGCGUAUGCGGUCUGGUAGGGGAGCGUUCUUCAUGGGCUGAAGGUGUGUUGUAAAGCAUGCUGGACUGUGGAGAAGUGAUUAUGCUGACAUGAGUAACGAUAAAACGGGUGAAAAACCCGUUCGCCGUAAACCCAAGGUUUCCUGGGUAAAGGUAAUCUUCCCAGGGUUAGUCGGCCCCUAAGGCAAGGCUGAAAGGCGUAGCUGAUGGGAAACGUGUUAAUAUUCACGUACUUGUGUGUUCGCGCGAAGGAGGGACGCAGGAAGAUAGGCGAUCCGGGUGUUGGAUUACCCGGUGCAAGCGAGUAGGCAUGGGAAGCAGGCAAAUCCGUUUCCCUGUAUGCUGAGACGCGAGUCCGUGGGCGUAAGCCCUGAAGUCGCUGAGUCUAUGCUGCCAAGAAAAGCUUCUAAGUUUAGAACACGCAAACCGUACCGGAAACCAACUCAGGUGGGUGGGAUGAAUAAUCCAAGGCGCUCGAGAGAACUCUGGCCAAGGAACUCGGCAAAAUAACCCCGUAACUUCGGAAGAAGGGGUGCUCCUUUAGGUGAAGCGAUUCACUUGUUGAGCCUGAGGGAGCCGCAGAGAAAUGGUGGUGGCGACUGUUUACUAAAAACAUAGGUCUGUGCGAAGUCGUAAAGACGACGUAUACGGACUGACGCCUGCCCGGUGCCGGAAGGUUAAAAGGAGGGGUCAGCGCAAGCGAAGCUCCGAAUUGAAGCCCCGGUAAACGGCGGCCGUAACUAUAACGGUCCUAAGGUAGCGAAAUUCCUUGUCGGGU